rnacentral:tRNA from 9 species
GCCGGAAUAGCUCAGUUGGUAGAGCAGAGGACUGAAAAUCCUCGUGUCACCAGUU